rnacentral:lncRNA from 1 species
GUAGCUGGUAACCCAAUAUUAUGGGAUCAGAGAAACAACACAUACCUUGCUAUCUGGUUGAGCUAAUUGAGCGCACAUUAUUCAAGGAAAUGCAGAAAGGAAGAGAAUGAACCUCAAUAUCAUAUUCUACUUUUCUGUAGCAAUUCCUUAGGAUCACCGAAAGUGCUUCAUGUAAAAGCUUGCCAUUUACUUUAAAUAUGUAUUUCUAGACCAAUGCAUAAUCUCAAAACAUGAAGAGAUGAGGUAUCCAAACCCAUGGGAACUAAUUAAUUUACCUGGGCGGUAGCUUUGCAAGUGAAUAUCUCAUCAAACCAAAAUUGAGAGCAAAACUUCAGAAGUUGCCUCAAGAACCAGGAUGAAAACCAACUGUACAAAUUUGAGAUUGGAAAGAAAUUAGCACAAUGGAAUUGUUGGGUCAAAGAAGUGAUUGUACUGGAAAAUAGAAAUGAAGAUAGAGGGGCCACCUAGCUAGACAAGAACCAUAAGAACGAGACAGGAGAGCAUCAGAGAAACAUAUGCAGGUGCAUAUACUGAAAAAGCUGGAGGUUGCGGAAACAGUAACUUACUCCAUUAAUCACG